UCAUUUGGCGAGGAGCUCUUCCAAGACAUGCUCUGCUUGGAAAGGUUCAUCCCCAUUAUUGGAGUCAUUAGCGUUCCAGAAAAAAACACCGGGUAGUGAUGAGGUUUGUUUGAGUUUUGUGCAGCCACCAAUGAAUAUAUCCCGUGUAAUUUUAAUAUUUAUGUGGUCAAGCGGGUCGGUGCUAAAUCCUGGAAGGACUUUACGAGGAUGGUAGUCAUUUACUACCCUUUCAUAGAUGUCUACAAAAGCAUCAUCUGUGGAUACAGGAUUUAGUUGAUUGCUGAACUGAUAAUCAACCAAAUUGAUAUAGUCUGGGUUUGCAUUAUACAAAUUCAGGUAGGAGGAUGCGUUGUUUUCAGAUGGAGCAAUGGACACCACAUGGAUGUUUAGGUCACGUUCUUUUUUGAGUUCUGUUAUAAGUUGGCCUAUCAACCUAGGAAACGCCUCAUCCCAUUUGAUGUGCUCAUAAUUAAUGUCAAUGCCAUCAAUCA